NNNAUACUCCCUCCGUCCGGAAAUACUUGUCAUCAAAAUGGAUAAAAGGAAAUGUAUCUAGACGUAUUUUAGUUUUAGAUACAUCUAUUUUUAUCCAUUUUGAUGACAAGUAUUUUCGGACGGAGGGAGUAGAAA
rnacentral:pre_miRNA from 1 species